rnacentral:rRNA from 1 species
AGUUGUGGUGCGCUCUCAAAGAGUCGAGUUGUUUGGGAAUGCAGCUCUAAAUGGGUGGUAAACUCCAUCUAAAGCUAAAUAUUGGCGAGAGACCGAUAGCGAACAAGUACCGUGAGGGAAAGAUGAAAAGGACUUUGGAAAGAGAGUUAAACAGUAUGUGAAAUUGUUGAAAGGGAAACGCUUGAAGUCAGUUAUGUUGGCUAGGGAUCAACCUAGCUAUUUUUUUGCUGGGUGAAUUUCCUANUCUGACAGGCCAACAUCAGUCUUGACUGCUGGAAAAGAGCAGAGGGAAUGUGGCACCUUUGGGUGUGUUAUAGCCCUUUGUCAUAUGUAGCAGUUGGGACUGAGGGAUGCAGCGUGCCGCGAGGCUGGGUUUCGACCANGUUCACGCUUAGGAUGUUGGCUUUUAAUGGCUUCAAUCGACCCGUCUUGAAACACGGACCAAGGAGUCUAACAUGCCUGCGAGUGUUUGGGUGGAAAACCCUUGCGCACAAUGAAAGUGAAAGUUGAGAUCCCUGUCAUGGGGAGCAUCGACGCCCGGACCUGAGCUUUUAGCAAUGGAUCCGCGGUAGAGCAUGCAUGUUGGGACCCGAAAGAUGGUGAACUAUGCCUGAAUAGGGCAAAGCCAGAGGAAACUCUGGUGGAGGCUCGUAGCGAUUCUGACGUGCAAAUCGAUCGUCAAAUUUGGGUAUAGGGGCGAAAGACUAAUCGAACCAUCUAGUAGCUGGUUCCUGCCGAAGUUUCCCUCAGGAUAGCAGAAGCUCAUUAUCAGAUUUAUGUGGUAAAGCGAAUGAUUAGAGGCCUUGGGGUUGAAACAACCUUAACCUAUUCUCAAACUUUAAAUAUGUAAGAACGAGCUGUCACUUGAUUGGACUGCUCGGUGAUUGAGAGCUUCUAGUGGGCCAUUUUUGGUAAGCAGAACUGGCGAUGCGGGAUGAACCGAUCGCAAGGUUAAGGUGCCAGAGUUCACGCUCAUCAGACACCACAAAAGGUGUUAGUUCAUGUAGUCANCAGGACGGUGGCCAUGGAAGUCGGAACCCGCUAAGGAGUGUGUAACAACUCACCUGCCGAAUGAACUAGCCCUGAAAAUGGAUGGCGCUUAAGCGUGACACCCAUACCUUGCUGUCAGUGUUGAAGUGACGCACUGACAAGUAGGCAGGCGUGGAGGUCAGUGAAGAAGCCUAG